UACAGAGGGUGCAAGCGUUGUUCGGAAUUAUUGGGCGUAAAGCGCGUGUAGGCGGACCUGCAAGUCGGGGGUGAAAGCCCGAGGCUCAACCUCGGAACUGCCUUCAAUACUGCGGGUCUCGAGUCCGGGAGAGGUGAGUGGAAUUCCUAGUGUAGAGGUGAAAUUCGUAGAUAUUAGGAAGAACACCAGUGGCGAAGGCGGCUCACUGGCCCGGUACUGACGCUGAGGCGCGAAAGCGUGGGGAGCAAACAGG
rnacentral:rRNA from 1 species